AUGGCCUACCAAGGCGAUAAUGGAUAGCUGGUCUGAGAGGACGAUCAGCCACAUUGGGACUGAGAUACGGCCCAGACUCCUACGGGAGGCAGCAGUGGGGAAUAUUGGACAAUGGACGAAAGUCCGAUCCAGCGACACCGCGUGGAGGAUGAAGGCUUUCGGGUUGUAAACUCCUUUUCUGGGGGAAGAAUAAGGUUGGGAGGAAAUGCCCAUCCGAUGACGGUACCCCAGGAAUAAGCAUCGGCAAACUUCGUGCCAGCAGCCGCGGUAAGACGAGGGAUGCAAGCGUUAUCCGGAAUUACUGGGCGUAAAGGGCGUCUAGGCGGUUGGAUAAGUCAUUUGUGAAAUCCCAGGGCUUAACCCUGGAAGGUCUUGUGAUACUGUCCGGCUUGGGUGUAGGAGAGGAGAGCGGAACUCACAGAGUAGCGGUGGAAUGCGUAGAUACUGUGAGGUACCCCGAUGGCGAAGGCAGCUCUCUGGCCUAUUACCGACGCUGAAGCGCGAAAGCGUGGGGAGCAAAGGGGAUUAGAUACCCCCGUAGUCCACGCCGCAAACGAUGUUCACUUGGUGUCGGGAGCCUAUAUAUCUCGGUGCCGGAGCUAACGCGUUAAGUGAACCGCCUGAGGAGUACGGCCGCAAGGCUAAAACUCAAGAGAAUUGACGGGUCCCCGCACAAGCGGUGGAGCACGUGGUUUAAUUCGAUGAUAAGCGAAGAACCUCACCUGGGCUUGACAUACUAGUGGUAAGAACCGGAAACGGUGAUGACCUUUCCUUCGGGUUAGGAGCUAGUACAGGUGAUGCAUGGCUGUCGUCAGCUCGUGUCGUGGGAUGUAGGGUUAAGUCCCGAAACGAGCGCAACCCUUGUCACUAGUUGCCAGCGGAUAAUGCCGGGGACUCUAGUGAGACUGCUGGUGAAUAGCCGGAGGAAGGCGGGGAUGACGUCAAGUCAUCAUGUCCCUUAUGCCCAGGGCGACACACAUGCUACAAUGGGAAGUACAAAGGGUUGCAAUACGGUAACGUGGAGCCAAUCUCAAAAAACUUCCCCCAGUUCGGAUUGUGGUCUGCAACUCGACCACAUGAAGCCGGAAUCGCUAGUAAUCGUAGGUCAGCCAUACUACGGUGAAUAUGUACUCGGGGAUUGUACACACCGCCCGUCACACCAACCGAGUGGGGGGUACCUGAAGUCGCUCUUUUGAGGGCGCCUAAGGUAACCUUCGCAAGAGGGGUGAAGUCGUAACAAGGUA
rnacentral:rRNA from 1 species